rnacentral:rRNA from 1 species
CCCCUCUGGGUAACCAAAGGGGAAUUCUUAGUGGCGAACGGGUGAGUAACACGUGAGAAACCUGCCCCGGAGAUCGGGAUAGCCCAGGGAAACCUGGAUUAAUACCGAAUACCCUCGAAUGGUCGCAUGUCCGAUCGAGGAAAUGGUCCGCUGCUCCGGGAUGGUCUCGCGUCCUAUCAGCUAGUUGGUGAGGUAACGGCUCACCAAGGCAACGACGGGUAGCUGGUCUGAGAGGACGAUCAGCCACACUGGGACUGAGACAUGGCCCAGACUCCUACGGGAGGCAGCAGCAGGGAAUUUUGCACAAUGGGCGCAAGCCUGAUGCAGCGACGCCGCGUGGGGGAUGAAUGCCUUCGGGUUGUAAACCCCUUUCAGGAGGGACGAAGCGAAAGUGACGGUACCUCCAGAAGAAGCACCGGCUAACUACGUGCCAGCAGCCGCGGUAAUACGUAGGGUGCGAGCGUUAAUCGGAAUUACUGGGCGUAAAGCGUGCGCAGGCGGUUUCGCAAGUCAGACGUGAAAGCCCCGAGCUUAACUUGGGAAUUGCGUUUGAAACUACGAGGCUGGAGUGUGGCAGAGGGAGAUGGAAUUCCACGUGUAGCGGUGAAAUGCGUAGAGAU